UACGAAGGGGGCUAGCGUUGCUCGGAAUGACUGGGCGUAAAGGGCGCGUAGGCGGCUCAUACAGUCAGAUGUGAAAUUCCUGGGCUUAACCUGGGGGCUGCAUUUGAUACGUGUGGGCUUGAGUGGGGAAGAGGGUCGUGGAAUUCCCAGUGUAGAGGUGAAAUUCGUAGAUAUUGGGAAGAACACCGGUGGCGAAGGCGGCGACCUGGUCCUUGACUGACGCUGAUGCGCGAAAGCCAGGGGAGCGAACGGG
rnacentral:rRNA from 1 species